CCUACGUGAGGCAGCAGUGAGGAAUAUUGGUCAAUGGACGAGAGUCUGAACCAGCCAAGCAGCGUGAAGGAUGACUGCCCUACGGGUUGUAAACUUCUUUUAUAUGGGAAUAAAAUGUUCCACGUGUGGGAUUUUGUAUGUACCAUAUGAAUAAGGAUCGGCUAACUCCGUGCCAGCAGCCGCGGUAAUACGGAGGAUCCGAGCGUUAUCCGGAUUUAUUGGGUUUAAAGGGAGCGUAGGUGGAUUGUUAAGUCAGUUGUGAAAGUUUGCGGCUCAACCGUAAAAUUGCAGUUGAAACUGGCAGUCUUGAGUACAGUAGAGGUGGGCGGAAUUCGUGGUGUAGCGGUGAAAUGCUUAGAUAGCACGAAGAACUCCGAUUGCGAAGGCAGCUCACUGGACUGCAACUGACACUGAGGCUCGAAAGUGUGGGUAUCAAACAGGAUUAGAUACCCCUGUAGUC
rnacentral:rRNA from 1 species